GUGCCAGCCGCCGCGGUAAUACCAGCCCCGCGAGUGGUCGGGACGCUUACUGGGCUUAAAGCGCCCGUAGCCGGCCCUGCAAGUCACUGCUUAAAGACCCGGGCUCAACCCGGGAAAGGGCAGUGAUACUGCAGGGCUAGGGGGCGGGAGAGGUCGGAGGUACUCCCGGAGUAGGGGCGAAAUCCACAGAUCCCGGGAGGACCACCAGUGGCGAAAGCGUCCGGCCAGAACGCGCCCGACGGUGAGGGGCGAAAGCCGGGGUAGCAAAAGGGAUUAGAUACCCCUGUAGUCCCGGCUGUAAACGAUGCAGGCUAGGUGUCGCGUAGGCUUUGUGCCUACGCGGUGCCGCAGGGAAACCGGUAAGCCUGCCGCCUGGGGAGUACGCCCGCAAGGGUGAAACUUAAAGGAAUUGGCGGGGGAGCACCACAAGGGGUGGAACCUGCGGCUCAAUUGGAGUCAACGCCUGGAAUCUCACCGGGGGAGACCGCAGGAUGACGGCCAGGCUAACGACCUUGCCAGACUCGCGGAGAGGAGGUGCAUGGCCGUCGCCAGCUCGUGUUGUGAAAUGUCCGGUUAAGUCCGGCAACGAGCGAGACCC
rnacentral:rRNA from 1 species